rnacentral:lncRNA from 1 species
CUAUCACAACUGAAAUAAGUCACUAUAUAAACUCAGUCAACCAGUAAACAAAGGGGAAUGGGGUGAAACCUAAUAACCGAUAGUCGAAUCCAGCUAAUCAACACAAAUUCCUCAUAUUAGCAGCAACUUUUUGAUAACCAAUUCAACUCGAACCAUCUCCAAACUUCAACAACCACCAGCUGAAUCCAGCCAUUAACAACCACAAUUCCAUCACUGCCAUCUCUACAAUAAUACGAAUUUAUUAUUGCCAGCACUGCCUAACCAAAGUCCCUUACUAGCCUAAGUCACCAGUUACCCAAAUUAGCCUCAUCAUUGUCGAUUAUCACCCACCAUUCAUGGAAAAAACUCAGCCAAAUCAAUAGCAACCUAGCAACACUGCACCACCAAUAAUCAAUAGCCAAAAUACCCUAAUGACACAUAAUUAUCUAAGACACAAUUACACAUUCCUAGACUCGUACCAAACAAUUUCAUCCAUACACAAGCCAUCAAAAUUAGACAAUAACUAAAAAAAGAAAAAAGAGAACACAAGCCAGAAAAGGUUUUUGGUUUAAUCAUUCUCGAUUACCAAGCCAAGGGGAAAAGAGACUGAGGCAGGUAUGAAAUGGCCCAUUUUCUAAGUUGGUGAUUAGAAGGUAGUGGCGAUUGGUAGUUUGCAGCGGCAGAAGGAAUGCCAACGAUAGGAGUAGUGGCAGUAACGGUGGUUGCUCGAUUUUCAAAUCUUGAUUCUUGAGGUCUUAUCGUGGAUUAGAGAUUGAAAGGAGGAGACAAACACUAGAAAAAGGGGAACGACGAGUAAGCCGAAAAGGGUAUUUCACAAGUUUGUCCAUGUCAACAUAUGACGAUCGGAGCACAAGCAAUAGGGGCUAGUCAUGGCUUUUGGGUUGUUUGAAAUCGGCGGUUGAUGUUCGUCUGCGAUUCAGAGAUAUGCUAGAAAAUCGGCUGUUAUAGAGAGAAAAGUGUAAGGCAAAAUGAAAGAAAAGUGUCCUGAUUUCAUGUAAAACAGUGUGCAUUGAACAAGAAAAUAAAAGAGGAGUUUUGGACCAAAGCAAUGAGAGUUUAGGCCCAUUCAAUAAGUAAUUCUAAGACUGAUUUAAGAAGACAACCCAAACUAAUUUUGAUCUGGGCCUUAGCCCAAAUUCUGGUAUUAUAUUUUCUUUUCUAUUUUGCUUUUAGCUUUUAUUUAUCCAUUUUCUUUUGUUUUAUUUAUAUUUAUAUCAUUAGAUUUAUAUUGUCAAGAUAUGCUUUCA